UGCAGAUACUGUGUUUUUUACUCGAAGAACUGGCAGCCCUGCAUCAAGCAAUGGAUUCCAUUUUUCCAACAGCAUGUUCUCAAUUCAUUAGCAGUUUUUGGCAAUAAAAUAUUUUUACUCAAGUUCUUGAGCGUUUUCUAUUAAGGGAGAGGACUGAAUUUUCUCAAAUGUUUCCUCUACACCUACUGAGAUGGUAAUAUGUCUUUUUACCCUAAUAUGGUGAUUUUCAAAUGUUAAAUAAAUCUUGUAUUCUACAGAGAAAACAUACUUGGCCAUGAUGUUAUAUUCAUCUGUGUUGUUGCAUGAUACUUGAUUAAAUUUUGUUUAGCAUUUGUCUAUCUAUUUCAUGAAGUAUAUUAGUAUUCUUUCAUUUUCUCUAAUGUCUUUGAUUUUGUUAUCAGGGUAAUACUGGUCUUGUACAAUGAGUUUGGAAUUCUUUUCUUUGCAACUUUUUAGAAGAGUUUGCAUGUUUGUGUAUGACUUAUGUUAUUUCUGUAUUACUUACUUGGUAGAAUUAUCCAGUGAAAUAACCUGUACCUCGAAUGUUGUCUGUGAGAUGUUUACCUAUAAAACCUAUAGUAAUAUAAUCACAUGUGUGGUGAUUCCAAGAAUAUAAUUUUCUUCAGUAAGCUUUGUCAGCACAUGCCUUAGGAGUUACAUGUCAAUUUUAUCCAACUCAUUAUAUUUGUUGUUAGAGUUAUGCAUAAUUUCCUUUCAUUAUCUUUUGAAUAUUUCAAGAAUAUGUAAUUACUUAACCUCUUUUAUUCUUGCUACUGGCAAUUUGUAUCUCUUUUUCUGUCUUUCUUUUUUAUUGUUCCUAAUGAGUUUGGCUAGAAGUUUAUCCAUUUUAAAAAUCUGAAAGAACUAGCUUUUGGUUUCAUAAUGAUCACUUUUUAAAAAUUUUUCUUAAGGUAGAAAGCUAAAAUUAUUGCUUUGAAAUCUUUUUUCACAAAUUUUCUAAUUUGGGGUGUAUGUGCUAUAAUUUGUCCACCUGAGUCCUGCUUUAGUGACAUCACACACAUUUUAAUAAAUUACGGUUUCGGUUUCAUUUAGUUCAAAAUACUUUCUAAUUUCCCUUUCAGUUUUUUCUUUGAUCUGUGCAUUAUUUAGAAGAGUGCUACUUAUGUUCUGACAGUUUGGUGGAUUUUCAAGAUAUCUUUUUGCUAUUUGCUGGGAACAUUUGUUUGUAUGACAGGAAUCAUUUCAGAUUUAUUAAGAUUUGUUUAUGAUCCAGAAUACAGUUUAAUUUGGUACGUGUUUUUUAUGCACUUGAAAAGAUUAUAUAUUCUGAUAAUAUUGGGUGGAACAUUCUAAGGUCUACUUGAUUGAUAUUGUUGUUCAAGUCUUCUAUAUCUUUGCUGUUAUCUUUCCUCUUUGUUCUAGAAAUUAUUAACCAGAAUUGUGUAUUUGUUUAUUUCUCCUGUAGUUUUGUAAGUUUUGCUUCAUGUAUUUUGGAGAUCUUUAAUCAAGCACACGCAUGUGUAGUAAUAUUGUCCUUUUGAGGAAUUUUCCC
rnacentral:lncRNA from 10 species